AGGCAACUUGGGGUUAUAUGGUCAAGCGAAUAAGCGCACACGGUGGAUGCCUAGGCGGUCAGAGGCGAUGAAGGACGUGGUAGCCUGCGAAAAGUGUCGGGGAGCUGGCAACAAGCUUUGAUCCGGCAAUAUCCGAAUGGGGAAACCCACUGCUUCGGCAGUAUCCUGCAGUGAAUUCAUAGCUGCUGGAAGCGAACCCGGUGAACUGAAAUAUCUAAGUAACCGGAGGAAAAGAAAUCAACCGAGAUUCCCUAAGUAGUGACGAGCGAACGGGGAACAGCCCUUAAGCUGGAAUGGCUUUAGAAAAACAAUCUGGAAAGAUUGGCCAUAGAAGGUGAUAGCCCUGUAUUUAAAAGGGCCACUCCAGUGAAGACGAGUAGGGCGGGGCACGUGAAACCCUGUCUGAAUAUGGGGGGACCAUCCUCCAAGGCUAAAUACUCCUGACCGACCGAUAGUGAACCAGUACCGUGAGGGAAAGGCGAAAAGAACCCCGGAGAGGGGAGUGAAAUAGAUCCUGAAACCGUGUGCGUACAAGCAGUAGGAGCUCGCAAGAGUGACUGCGUACCUUUUGUAUAAUGGGUCAGCGACUUACUGUUCGUGGCAAGCUUAACCGUAUAGGGGAGGCGAAGGGAAACCGAGUCUGAUAAGGGCGCAUAGUCGCGGGCAGUAGACCCGAAACCGGGUGAUCUAGUCAUGGCCAGGGUGAAGGUGCCGUAACAGGUACUGGAGGCCCGAACCCACGUCUGUUGCAAAAGACGGGGAUGAGCUGUGAUUAGGAGUGAAAAGCUAAUCGAACCCGGAGAUAGCUGGUUCUCCUCGAAAGCUAUUUAGGUAGCGCCUCGGACGAAUACUACUGGGGGUAGAGCACUGUUAUGGCUAGGGGGUCAUCGCGACUUACCAAACCAUUGCAAACUCCGAAUACCAGUACGUACUAUCCGGGAGACACACGGCGGGUGCUAACGUCCGUCGUGAAAAGGGAAACAACCCAGACCCACAGCUAAGGUCCCAAAUUCACUGCUAAGUGGAAAACGAUGUGGAAAGGCAUAGACAGCCAGGAGGUUGGCUUAGAAGCAGCCACCCUUUAAAGAAAGCGUAAUAGCUCACUGGUCGAGUCGGUCUGCGCGGAAGAUUUAACGGGGCUAAGCAGUGAACCGAAGCUUGGGGUGCGUAAAACUUUUGGUUUUAUGCGCGGUAGAGGAGCGUUCCGUAAGCCUGCGAAGGUGGAUUGAGAAGUCCGCUGGAGGUAUCGGAAGUGCGAAUGCUGACAUGAGUAACGAUAAUGCGGGUGAAAAGCCCGCACGCCGAAAGCCCAAGGUUUCCUUGCGCAACGUUAAUCGACGCAGGGUUAGUCGGUCCCUAAGGCGAGGGCGAAAGCCGUAGUCGAUGGGAAGCAGGUUAAUAUUCCUGCACCUCGCGUGAGUGCGAUGGAGGGACGGAGAAGGUUAGGUGUACCGGGCGUUGGUUGUCCCGGGGAAAGGCGGUAGGUUUGGAUCUUUGGCAAAUCCGGGAUCCUUUAAGACCGAGCACCGAGACGAGCCUUUAUGGCAAAGUCACUGAUACCACGCUUCCAGGAAAAGCUCCUAAGCUUCAGCUCACGAAGCCCGUACCGAAAACCGACACAGGUGGGUAGGAUGAGAAUUCUCAGGCGCUUGAGAGAACUCGGGUGAAGGAACUAGGCAACAUGGCACCGUAACUUCGGGAGAAGGUGCACCCUUUUUGGUGGCUCAUGCGAGCUAUAGCUGAAGAGGGUCGCAGAAACCAGGCCGCUGCGACUGUUUAUCAAAAACACAGCACUCUGCAAACACGAAAGUGGACGUAUAGGGUGUGACGCCUGCCCGGUGCUGGAAGGGUAAUUGAUGGGGUCAGCCGCAAGGCGAAGCUCUUGAUCGAAGCCCCAGUAAACGGCGGCCGUAACUAUAACGGUCCUAAGGUAGCGAAAUUCCUUGUCGGGUAAGUUCCGACCUGCACGAAUGGCGUAACGACAGCGGCGCUGUCUCCACCCGAGACUCAGUGAAAUUGAAAUCGCUGUGAAGAUGCAGCGUUCCCGUGGCAAGACGGAAAGACCCCGUGAACCUUUACUAUAGCUUUACACUGAACGUUGAGUUCGUCUGUGUAGGAUAGGUGGGAGGCUAUGAAACUGUGGCGCUAGCUGCAGUGGAGCCAUCCUUGAAAUACCACCCUGUCGUGCUUGACGUUCUAACCUAGAUCCGUUAUCCGGAUCAGGGACCGUGUAUGGUGGGUAGUUUGACUGGGGCGGUCUCCUCCUAAAGAGUAACGGAGGAGCACGAAGGUACGCUCAGCGCGGUCGGACAUCGCGCACUGUGUGCAAAGGCAUAAGCGUGCUUGACUGCAAGAUCGACGGAUCAAGCAGGUACGAAAGUAGGUCUUAGUGAUCCGGUGGUUCUGUAUGGAAGGGCCAUCGCUCAACGGAUAAAAGGUACUCCGGGGAUAACAGGCUGAUACCGCCCAAGAGUUCAUAUCGACGGCGGUGUUUGGCACCUCGAUGUCGGCUCAUCACAUCCUGGGGCUGUAGUCGGUCCCAAGGGUAUGGCUGUUCGCCAUUUAAAGUGGUACGCGAGCUGGGUUCAGAACGUCGUGAGACAGUUCGGUCCCUAUCUGCCAUGGGCGUUGGAAGUUUGAGAGGGGCUGCUCCUAGUACGAGAGGACCGGAGUGGACGAACCUCUGGUGUUCCGGUUGUCACGCCAGUGGCAUUGCCGGGUAGCUAUGUUCGGAAGCGAUAACCGCUGAAAGCAUCUAAGCGGGAAGCGCGCCUCAAGAUGAGACUUCCCGGGGCACAAGCCCCCUAAAGGAACCAUAUAGACUAUGUGGUUGAUAGGUCAGGUGUGUAAGUACAGCAAUGUAUUGAGCUAACUGAUACUAAUGAUCCGUGCGGCUUGACC
rnacentral:rRNA from 1 species